GAAGAGCUAUGUUAAGAAAAAGCUUCAGGAAUUUGCAUACACAUUUCUUUGAACAACAAACCAUGUACAGGUAGGUUGAGAUUCCACAGGCUAGAAAAAAGCCAGGGCAGAAGCUGUAUUACUGACAAGUCCCAGAGACACAGAGAAUUGAGAGAUGUGUGAGUUCUGACUAGAUGAAGAUGAAAAUUCUCACUGACCAUCUGUGGCCCUUAGCAGAGACCCCAGAAGAGUCACACCUGAGUAGGUGAUUAAGUAGCAUGGAAUAGUAAUUGGAAGAUAAGUAGCAGUGGUUCUUAAUUUAGCAGGACUUGCUAGAAUCCAAAAGCCCUUUUUUUCCCAAAAAAAUACUAGGAAAAAAAAUGCCAGAAUUUCAGGGGAAAAAAUAUAGAUAAUUAGACAGGCAGACAGAUGGAUGGACAGGCAGACAGACAGAUAGAUAACACAAUUGAUUAGAGAAAACCUCACUGCAUACUUGUGUAGGGUCAAAUUUUACAGUUCUGGGAAGUAAUACAUCUUCCAUUCUCCAAAUUAAAAAAUAAAAUUCUACAUUUACUUUGUAUCCUCUCUUUCCUGCCCCCCCGCCUCAUCUCUAUAAAUUAUCAUUUUAUUUAUCCUUUACUGUCUUAAAUGCCAUAAAGUCUUCCUGACAUCCUUAUAACACUAAACAAAAAGGAGUCAUUCCUCCUCUAAACCAUUCUAUUUGACUGUCCCAUGGCUUCCAAACUUUCGUGAGUUCAAACCAGGUUUUUUAGUGUCAUGCAGCAGUAGUUUUUCACACUAAUCAUAUUUCUUAAUCAUUGUGAACAGUUACCACUCUAAGCUCAUGUGCACCUCAUCUCCUAUAACCUUGACAACAAACACAUGGGACGGGAACUCUUAUUUAUUACCCCUCCCUUCUGAGGAAAUUGAGGCUUGGGGUGCUGGCAAAUUGCAAAGGCGAGAGUAAAACGCAAGGAGUUUGGCUCCAGAGUACAAGUUCUUCAGCUCCACUACAGAUGGACUGUGAGUAUUUUACAUCUUGUUCUUGACUAGAAGCUCCUUGUAGAUGAAGGCCGUGUCAUUUUCACCUUUGUAUGCCCCGAACCUAAUGAUGGUGUUUUAUCUGUAGGUGGUUAUUGCAAGGCAUGGGUUGAAUGAAAAAAAUGCAUGCAUACAUGAAAAUUAUAAGUAUCUCUAGAGAGAUGGUGCCAUUGUGAGUCAUACCAGGUAGACAUGAUGCCUGCUGGGUAAAGGGUCUGUUAUUGAUGUGUUUGGUGUUCUUGUGUUUGGUAAAUAACAGUUUUGUUAAAUGGCUUUUGAUUUUUUUUUUUCUUAAGAUCAUCUAUUCUCUUUUCUGUGCUAGGCUUUUGAAAACACAUUAUGUUUUCAGAGCUGGAAAAUGUAGUGAUCAAUAUUCUAAUGAUUAAACGUGAAAUUGUUUUAUAGAGUAAGAUUUGGUAAAUUGAGAGAGGAAAAUAAGUUAAGUCAUUGAAAAGAAACCUCCUUCGGCUCCUCUGGAGGGAAAAUGCUGGCUCAAAACGAGUAAGGAAAAAAAAGAAGACAAUUACAGGAAAAACCACAAGCUUUACAGGCUCAAUGAUUUUUUUAUUUCAGAAUUCAUUUUCUUGUGUUUAUUUUUCUUUAUUUUAAAGCUGAAAAUGAAUGGGGACUGGCUUGGUAAUAAUGAAUUUGAUAUUGAGAAUUUUUUCAGUUUAACUUACUCUAUAGCUUGAAUAGAGAAAAACAAGUCAUCUUUUGUGUGCAACCUGGAAGUGAGCAGUGGAAGGAAAGCUAGGAAUUAUCCUGCAUCCUUUUUGUACCUCUUCUCCCUCUACAGUGAGUCUCCUUAAUCCCAAACUUUGGACCCCAAAUCUCCCCAGCAUGUCAGAGAAUCUGUGAGGUGAAGUGUAGCAACAUAACACAUAUUAGUGCACCAUUACCAAAGGUUUAGCAUGAAAGGGACCCCUAAAAUACAAUUGAUGUGCUUCUGGUUUGAACAAAUGUCGUACCAUGAACCAUAAAAAACAUGGUUCUUUAAAGAAAUUGUAAGUUUCAGGACUCUACACUUAUCCUUAUUUUAGAAGUCUGGCUUUGCACUUAAAGGGUCUUUGUCAAAAUUAGAAACAGUGAAAAAUUAAGAGCCCUCUAUGUCUAGUUUCACAUUUUAGAGAUGAACUAAGAGGAAAAAGGGCCCAACCUAAAAGCUGCCCAGAGAUGAGAUUAAUGCUUCACCACCUGGAAGAGCCCCAGUAACUGGAGGCAAAACUUGCCCCAGGAGCCAGGUGGGAGUGAUAAUAUUCAGAGUGAAAAGCCAAAAUUGUUAAAUAGCAAAACUUCAAUGGGAUGAAUGGCAGCCCUCUAUUAGGAGGCAAGAGAUAGCAGAAGAAAUGGACAGUGGAACUGGUCAGGGAAUUGCAGGCGAUUGAAAGAGUUAGUUCAAGUCUUCGGGCUGGAACUCUCAGGCAAGGUGCCAAGAGUUUAACUUGGUGAAGUCAUGAGAGCCACAUACAUGGGCGUGGACCAGCCAUUUCAAAAGAGUAAAGCAGUGCUAACACUAUAUAUCCUGCAGUCUCUGGUGGCUUUUUGUGUCUCUUGAUGUCCAAGGUGACUUUUGCUUCCUUCGUACUCUCAAGAUAGGUAUCUGUAAUGCACCAAUGUAAUUCAGUAUUAUUCACCUUUUACCAUAAAAUGGUUCUAGGAACAGAUAACCUGGCAGCAAAUUUAAGCUUCAACACUUUUUUUAUCUGUCUGUGAGAAAAUUAUUUAAUCUCUCUAUGCUACUGAAUUGAAUUCUCCUCUCUAAAAUGGAGAUAAUAAGAGUUCCUGUCGUGGUUAGUGGUUAGCAAAUCCGAUGAGCAUCCAUGAAGAUGCAGUUGGGAUCCCUGGCCUUGCUCAAUGGGUUAAAGAUCCAGCGUUGCCAUGAACUGUGGUGUAGGUCACAGAUGGAUGCAGCUUGGAUCCUGCAUUGCUAUGGUUGUGGUGUAGGUCAGCAGCUGUAGCUCCGAUUCAACCUCUAGCCUGGGAACCUCCAUGUGCCACAGUUGCAGCCCUAAAAACCAAAAUAAGUAAAUAAAAAUAAAAUGGAGAUAAUAAUUUUCCAGAUUUCAUAACAUUUUAAGAACAUUUAAUAAGUAAAUAAAUGGAAAAGUCUUAUCUUGGUAACAUAAUAAAAUUAUAUUUUAUUAAUAUAGUCAUUAUCAUCUUUUAUCAUAGUGUCGAGUAUGGUGCCUUACGUAUUUUCAGAAAUACCUAAUGAAUUAGUGAAUGAAAUAUUAUUAAUCCUAAAUUUGCAGAGUACUUGCAGAGGUCAAAAUAGUCACCUCUAGUGGGGAUGAAAAUGAACUCUAUACCAAGUUACCACCCACUUGUUAAAAAUUGUCCUGUUAAAUUCCAGUCUGUGAUAGGGCUAGUGGAAUAUGACUCCAUUUUUUUUUUUUUUUUUUUUUUUUUUUUUUACUGCAUCUAAGCAAAGAGUAAUUGUCAACACUUAGAGAAAGGGUCUUUCCUGAUAUUUUGACAUUUUUGUCAGAUAGAGACAGAAUCCUUUCCUGAACAAGUAUGUGUUGACCUACUUGCAUCUUGAUCAGCAUUACAUGCCAGGGCAGAAAGACAUUUUUAUAUCAAGCUGCUGUGGAAACAUUCUUGGUUACACCAGGAAGUCAAAUCAGUUAACAAUUCUUUAAUAGAGUUUUAACAAAGUCAGUGAAUUUUAAAUAGGCAAGUCUGAGCCUGUUUAGGCAGAAAACUAUGCCACAAGUAUGUGGUAGGUGUGGUAGUGAUUAUUGAAUCUAUAGUCUACAAAGAAGGAAAAGUAAUUUUGCAUCAUGUUAUGGAUUCUUUUGUAUUGUUAAUGGAUCUUUGAAUGGGUAUUGCUACUUUUAUUUUCAUUUAAUGAACAAGCAUAAACUACUGAAAGAAAUAGCAUAUGGUACCAUCACACAUUACUCGUAGGCCUUCUAAUUUCAUUUUUCCCUAUCUUUCCGUCAGAAUUCUCCAGAUUACUUUGAAUGCAUUUUAAAAUCCCUUAGGAAAAUUUUAAACCAUUGGAUUACUCCAGAUAUUGUUACAAUAUAUUUUUUAAAAAGAGAGAGACUUUGCCUUUAGGUUACCACUAAGUAGCUACAAAUUAUCAAUUCUCUUAGUGUGUUCUUCCGAGUAGUUCAUAUUCAGUCUCCCUUACCUUUGACAAUUCCCUCUUAUUCAGCCCCACUGAAACUCCAGAUUCUUCUGAUGCUUCCUUUCAAUGUCUCUCAAAUCAAAACCAACCCCUUUGGAAUAUGUGUAAUAGUUAAUGAAGUGAUUGUUCUUCCUCUGGUUCCUUGAUCCUUAGAUUGACCCUUCACACUCUGCCUAGAGUUGUUUUCUGAAACACAACCAUAAAUUGUAACCUUUUCCAGCUUUAAAAUUUCUAAUGUAUCCCUGUUGCCAAGAGAAUGGAAUCUAACCUUCUCAACCCACACUUGGUUUCCCACGAGCAGCUCCCCCCCACCUCAUUCUCCCUGGUGUCUAAGGGUGCACACAAAAAGGUGGUCUCCUGCAUCUUCAUGCCACUCUUCACUGUGCUCUACCAUAUGGUCAUGCUGACACACAUGAACAAUCCUAUCUAAAUGAAGACCCAGAUAAGUCAUAACUUCUACAGCUACAUGCUGGGAUCCUAGAACCCUACCAAAACUGCCACCAUUGAGCCUUCUCCAGGACAGAGAGGAGUAGUACACAAGGAGGUAAAAUAAUGCAGAAAAAAUACCAACUGUCUUUCUUUCUGACACACACAUUUUAACCCACAGCAACAGAGGAUUACAUUUCAUAUGGAAAAAAAUGUGAAGUAGAAUUGCUAUUGUUUGAUCUCCCUAGCAUUUCUUCCUUGAGUGGGGACAGGCUUAUUCCUUUGCAAAAGCCAUGUAUUUCUGAGAAGGCUUCCACAUGACACCAUAUUUCUGCCUCCUUAACUCCAGUUGGUUGAUCUAGUGUGUAUCUGCCCUAAGCCAGAUGAGUCAGACUCUUUUCCUGUGAUUCUUCUACCUCACUGUGGCAUGAAAGAUUACCCCCUUCAUGACCAAGAUAGAAGACAUAAGGUACUGGAAAUAGCAAUUAUAUGCAUAAGCAGGCUUAAGAGAUUGAAGCUUUAUUAGACUCGCAGCAGAGAUGAGGUACUGGAGCUAGACAACAAGAGUAGGGGAGGGAGAUGCUAAAUGUUAUUCAAGUACCUGCUAGGAAUGACCCUUAAAUCGAUCUCGUUCUUUCUGCAUUUUAAUGAACAUCCCUUUUGCCUAAGUUAGUUUGAUCUUGGUUUCUGUCAUUUAUAACCAAAAAAAAUGCUGGAAAAAUAUAGAUAUAUUAUGGAAUUUGACUCAAACUGUUGUUGAAAUUUUAGGAUGUAAGAUAAAUCUCCAAAGAAAUUUUGAAUUCAUAGCUGACUACCCAGUACUGCCUAGAUUUCUCAGAAUACAACUUCUACUUUAAUGUCAGGGAUUGUUGUUAUUGUUAUUGGGGCUUAUUUUUUUUUCCAGUGGUGUAUUUGACAAAUAAAAAUUGUGUAUAUUUAAGAUAUACAAAUUACUACCACAACCAAGCUAAUUAAUAUAUCUAUGGUAACAGUUUCUUUUGCGUGUGUGUGGUGAAAACACUUAAGACCAACUGCUAGUAAAUUUCAAUUAUAUAAUACAGUAUAUUAUUAACUAAAGUAACUGUGCUGUAUAUUGGUCUCCAGAACUUACUGAUCUGCAUAGUGGGACAGAUUUGUACCCUUUGACCAGUAGGUCCCCAUUUUGCCUUGCUCUUAGCCCCUGGUCCCUGGUAACUACCAUUCUACUCUCUGCUUCUAUGAGUUAGUUUCUGAGAUUCCACAUAUAAGUGAGAUCACACCUUAUUUGUCUUGCUCUGUUUGGUUUAUUUCCCUUAACAUAAUGUCCUCCAGGUCCUCCAUGUUGUCAGAAAUGUCAAGAUUUCUUUUUAUUAAGGCUGAAUAAUAUUCCACUGUGUAUACACAUCUAGAUACCUUCAGAUAAGUACACACACACAUAUUUUCUUUAUCCAUUCAUGCACUGAUGGACACUUAGGUUGUUUCCAAAUCUUGGCUAUUGUGAAUAAUACCAUAGUGAACAUGGUGGUACAGAUAUCUCUUCAAGAUACUGAUUUAAUUUCCUUUAGGUAUUUAUCCAGAAGCUGGGUCAUGUGGGAGUUACUGUUCUAAUAUUGAGGGUCCUUGUCAACACUUAUCUCUUGUUAUUUUGAUGAUAGCAUUCUAGCAUACUUUAGUGAAACAUUUUGAGGAGCCUUUUUUAUGGCUUUUUGGGGAAAUGGUUACUACUUGUUGGCCAGUGAUUAACUGGAAAGAAUAAUUUUAGUAUUAUUAAAAAAUUGUUUAAAUGUGAGUUUUUAAAGAAAUAGGAGGAGGGAGUUCCCAUCCUGGCGCAGUGGUUAAUGAAUCCGACUAAGAACCAUGAGGUUGCGCGGGUUUGAUCCCUGGCCUUGCUCAGUGAGUUAACGAUCAGGCGUUGCCAUGAGCUGUGGUGUAGGUUGCAGACGCGGCUCAGAUCCCACGUUGCUGUGGCUCUGGGGUAGGCCAUUGGCUACAGCUCCGAUUCGACCCCUAGCCUGGGAACCCCCAUGUGUUGCGAGAGUGGCCCAAGAAAUG
rnacentral:lncRNA from 1 species